rnacentral:rRNA from 1 species
CCUACGGGAGGCAGCAGUGGGGAAUAUUGCACAAUGGGGGAAACCCUGAUGCAGCGACGCCGCGUGUGUGAAGAAGUCUUUCGGUAUGUAAAGCUCUAUCAGCAGGGAAGAAGAUGAUGGUACCUGACUAUGAAGCCACGGCUAACUACGUGCCAGCAGCCGCGGUCAUACGUAGGGGGCAAGCGUUCUCCGGAUUUACUGGGUGUAACGGGAGCGUAGACGGCCAGACAAGUCAGAAGUGAAAGCCCAGGGCUCAACCCUGGGACUGCGUUUGAAACUGACGGGCUGGAGUGCAGGAGAGGGAAGCGGAAUUCCGAGUGUAGCGGUGAAAUGCGUAGAGAUUAGGAGGAACACCAGUGGCGAAGGCGGCUUACUGGACUGUAACUGACGUUGAGGCUCGAAAGCGUGGGGAGCAAACAGGAUUAGAUACCCCGGUAGUC